rnacentral:rRNA from 1 species
GGAGGUCCGAACCCACGAGCGUUGAAAAGCUCGGGGAUGACUUGUGGGUAGCGGUGAAAUUCCAAUCGAGCCCGGAGAUAGCUGGUUCUCCCCGAAAUAGCUUUAGGGCUAGCCUCAAGGUGAGAGAUACGGAGGUAGAGCACUGAAUGUCCUAGGGGGUAUUGCACCUACCGAAGACUAUCAAACUCCGAAUGCCGUCAUCUUAUACUUGGGAGUCAGACUGUGGGUGAUAAGAUUCAUAGUCGAAAGGGCAACAGCCCAGAUCGUCAGCUAAGGUCCCUAAAUGUAAGUUAAGUGGUAAAGGAUGUGGGAUUGCACAGACAACCAGGAUGUUGGCUUAGAAGCAGCCACUCAUUCAAAGAGUGCGUAAUAGCUCACUGGUCGAGUGAUCCUGCGCCGAAGAUUUCCGGGGCUAAAACUUACUACCGAAGCUACGGCAUCAGUAAUGAUGGGUAGGGGAGCUUCCCAUACGGGUUGAAGCAUGACCGUAAGGACAUGUGGACAGUAUGGGAGUGAGAAUGUUGGCAUGAGUAGCGAGAUGUGGGUGAGAAUCCCACAGGCCGUAAACCCAAGGUUUCCAGGGGAAGGUUCGUCCGCCCUGGGUUAGUCGGGACCUAAGCGGAGGCCGAAAGGCGUAGGUGAUGGACAACAGGUUGAUAUUCCUGUACUACCGAUAACCGUUUGAGAGAAGGGAUGACACAGUAGGAUAAGCUAAGCACACUGUUGGUUAUGUGUGCCCAAGCAUUGAGGCAGUCAAAGUAGGCAAAUCCGCUUUGAUAAUGCUGGGAUGUGAUGGGGAGCGAAAUUUAGUAGCGAAGUAGCUGAUUUCACACUGUCAAGAAAAGUCUCUAUCGAGGUUAAAGGUACCCGUACCGCAAACCGACACAGGUGGGUGAGGAGAGUAUCCUAAGGCCA